GUAGGUUCUAUUUCUGGAGAGAGAGAGAGGUAGAUUUUUAUGUUUAUUAUUAAGUUAGUUUCAGCUUCUGAUAGCAGGUUAUUAAGAGUUUACUUGAGGAGAGGAUUACGGAAUUUUAGUCUAUAGUGGAGGAAGUCUUUGAGAUUUUUUUUUGACGUAACAUAUGUUUAUUUGAGUAUACUUGUAAGGAUAAAGUUUAUAGUGAUAAGUUGUUUUAAGUCGUUGAGUUUAUCAGGGAUUUUUACGUGAGGAGAAUACGUUAUAAUUUAAAUGAUUAAUAGAGAUAAUGCAAGUGGUUUAAUUUAAUUGAAAUUAAUUUUAAGAUUGUAGGUUAAGAGAGUUAAAAUUUAAAAUAAAGUUUUUUUCGUAAAUAGGAAUUAUUUUCAAGUGAAGUUUGUUUUGCUGUCGUGCGCGUAGGAGACGAGACGUACGAAUUAAAUCAGUCGAGGGAAGGAUAAACGUUAGAAAGGAAUUAAAGAGAAAACGAGAGUUUAUGUAAAAGAGAGUUAUAGAAUUUAUAGUGAUGUUUUGUUUUAAUUAGAAAAAUGUUGAGAGUUGUUUCAGAACGACACGUCAGUGGACGUGGCAGAAUGAACACGAGACGGGGAGGUGCUGAGACCUAGCGGAGAACGGAGGAACCGCAAGCGAGGGUUGGCGCACCUGAUGGAAUUCGGUGACGUCACGGGCUCAUACGGAGACGUGGACAGGCCGUGACCUUGUUUUGAUCAGCUGUACGGUAACUUAGCGAUAAGAAAAUAGACUAUUGGUUAAAUAAAUUUAAAUUUAAGUGUGUUUUAGAAGAAGAGGAACUUUCAGUAUAUUCCUUAAGAUGAGCUGAGCAGCAGUCCAGUUUACAAGAUGACAAGAGUUCGAGAGACAAGAUACAAGAUCACUGAAACAAGAGCCAAGACUGAAGAUUCAAGAGAAGAGAAAGCUGGCAGCCAUGGACUUACAAGUGGAGAUUAAUAAGGUCAUGUAAAGUUUUAUUUUUUUAUGGAAGACAGUAACUGUUUUUUUUUUGUUAUAAACAUUAUUUACAGAACUUUUUAGGUUAUAGUAAUGUAAUGGAACUAGUGAGUUGUGGUAGCUGUCAAAAAGAACUAAUACCUUAAGUUUAAUUUUUAAAGUUAAUUUUCUUAAUUUACAGAGGGAUUAGUAGUUUUUUUAAACCUUAUUUAGGUUGGAAUUUAAAUACAAUAGCUUAUUAUAAAUGUGUACGAACAGUUCAAGUUCACAGUACUGAUAGGUAGGUCAGAUGAUCUUAUUGAUUUUGAUGAUUUGUUGUUUUGAGUUGAUUUUUAGGUGUUGUGAAUUAGACAAUGAAAUAGUUCUGAAAACUUAAAUUAUUUCAAGCUAAGAAAUAGUAAAGUUAAUUGUAACUCAAAGGACACCAGAAUUUAAUUUUUUUUUGAAUUAGUAAUGUUUGAAAAUUUUAUACUUUACAAGAAAGGUUAUAAACAAACAGAUCGGAUGGAACAAGGAUGCAGUAAAUCACAAUUUCAUUUAGAAUUAUUGAUUAGCUUUUGAGGUUAUGAAGUAAAAGUAAUUAUAGUUUAAAAGUUUGAAUAAAAAAAAAUGUUUUUUUUUAUUUGUUUGAAAUAGAAAGUUUAAAAGUUAAUUAGUCAUGAUCUAGGUGGGUGAUGGGGUGGGAAUUGGCCACUCUUUUUCCCUAUAACCUCCCUAACAUGGCCUUCUAUUACAACUAACAGAAAUAAAGAAGAAGAAAAAUGAAGAAUUAUUAGUUAGAAUGUUUCUUUCAUGAAGAUACCUGAUGAACUUUUACUGUUUGGAAGAAUAGAAGCAAGGUUAGUCAGAUAUUUGUACUCAGAAGAAGAAGAAGAUAAAGCAGUUUUAUGACUCGACAAGCCAGAGAUUGGUGUUUCCCCUCUGCGCUUCUAUUGACUACGUUGUUUACUCUCAUGGGAUAGCUGGUUCGGCACCAUGGAGAGAGAUUGGUGGGCAUUGUGGUUGCCCCCAGAAGAAAAGAAGAGUAGAAGAGGUUAUGGGUGGGUCAUGUGAACUGACCUUCAACCCAGUUACUUCGUGGGGACUAUUUGCUGUAUAGAGAAGAUCAAGACUCAAGAGUUAGGGAAAAUCAUUGGAGGUCAUGUUUCCCUUCCUUAAGUUUUUCCUAUCAAAUUAUUUGCCUGAUUAGAUUAUGCUAAGGGUGGGAUACUUUAUGUUAGCAGUUGAAUUAAUUAAUUUUAUUUUUUUUGUGUGUUUGCAUCCUUGCCCAUCGAUUGCAGUUUAGUAGUUAGUUUUGUAUUUGUCAGGCGUGAUGGUAAUGCCUGUUGAUGAUGUUUCAGAAUUGUAAUCUGUUCGUGAUGAGGAUGGCACAACUCCGAAGCAGAUGUGGGGAGAAGUUGUGAGCUGCCCUGGAAGCCAGUCCAGUAGCUGUUGAAGUUGAGUGGUGUUUGCUGAUGGCCAGCCCAGGGAGCUACUCUUCUCGACAACACUGACUUCGAGGAGUUGCACCAACCUUCACGAGAUAAGAGUUUAAUUAAUUGAAACACUGUAAGGACACUUAAUUUUUUUUGAAGAACGAAAGAAGUAUGGUAAUAAACGGAAACCGAAAAAAAAAAAUAAUAAUAAUUAUCAAGAAUUUGCACAUUGUUUAACGAAUACUGAGAAACUAAGAACAGUAAUUUAAUUUGUAAAGAGAGCUUCACUAACAGAACAAUUUUUUUAGAAUUGAGAACUCGAGCCUCUGAAGGUUCCUGUGAGAACAAACCAGAUAAAAGUUUUACAUUUAAUUUUAUGAAUACUUGUUGUUUUAAAAUAAAUCUUAUGCAGAAUCUAGAUGUAUGUUCAGACAGCAAGGAACUAAGAAAAUUAUUAUUUUUGUGAAAUGAGGAAUUUAUAGUUAUGGUUUAAUGGAAAAAGACAAUUUGUAAUUUUGAGGUAGCUCGAUGGGGCUCGAGCUCUGUGAGGGGAGGGUUAUGUCGCGGGUUGAAAUUUUGCAGGGUUGUUGAAAUCAAAUUUAGGGACUUUACUGACGGGACUCUGGGCUGGCUGCUCUGUUCACUCGUCAGCGCAAGUGGCGUGACCAUGUAAUUGGGGCACGGGGCCGGCGCGGCGCGCUGCGGGCUUGCAGAAUUUUGUUUGUUUGUUUGGCCGCGCGCUGGCGCAGCCACGGGCCGCAGUUACUGGGGCGCGCUGUCGUAACAAGCCGCGCGGUGUGGCCUGCACAUUGGGGUAGAGGGGGGGUAGUCUUCCCAGAUGUUCUAGUUAGUUGUUUAGUAAAUUUGACUUCAAUAACGAGCUUUUGUUAUGGUAGGCGCGGCAGGGCGCGCGAAUUUAAGCGCAAGUGAGUAGGAAUUCAGGCUCACUCAGGCGGAGGCUAUGCGUCUCACCUGUGGUCACGAGUUGUUAGUUCGUUCGUGAUGUAGGAAUUCAGGCUCACUCAGGCGGAGGCUAUGCGUCUCACCUGUGGUCACGAGUUGUUAGUUCGUUCGUGAUGUAGGAAUUCAGGCUCACUCAGGCGGAGGCUAUGCGUCUCACCUGUGGUCACGAGUUGUUAGUUCGUUCGUGAUGUAGGAAUUCAAGCUUUCGGGCGGAAGCUAUGGUCGACGCCAGAGGCCACGAGUCGUUUAAUUUAAGUUAGGUCAUAAUGUAGUCGUCAAGCUUUCGGGCGGAGGCUAUGGCCCUUGUCACUAGUCGUUUAGUUAUAAUUUUUUAAAAUGUAAUGUUCGUUCGGAUUUUAAGGGCAGGAGAGGCCCCUACGUUAGUUUUAAGUAAUCGAUCAAGAAAGGCUUUUCGGAAAAUGUGAGUAUGGACUUAUCUUUGUUUUAAUUUUAAGUAUUAAUUAUGAUUUGAGGUAUUCGGAAGGACUAGGGAAGUGUUUAGUGAAGUUCUCUCAUUCUCUCUCUUGUAAGGUCGUUCAAUCGUUAAGGAAGUAAAGAGAUUAUUGUUUUAAAUUGUAAUCCCGCUAUUUAAAUGUUCUUUAAAAUGAUGUUGAGUAUUUGACUUUAAGAAUAAAAUAAUUUUAAUUAAG